rnacentral:rRNA from 1 species
CGGCAUGCUUAACACAUGCAAGUCGCACGUGAAAGCUUCCUUCGGGAAGUAAGUAAAGUGGCGCACGGGUGAGUAACACGUGGAUAAUCUGCCCAGUAAUCCGGGAUAACAUCUCGAAAGAGAUGCUAAUACCUGAUAAGCCCACGAUCUCUUCGGAGAACGAGGGAAAAGGUGGGGACCUUCGGGCCUACCGUUACUGGAUGAGUCCGCGGCCCAUUAGCUAGUUGGUAGGGUAAUGGCCUACCAAGGCUACGAUGGGUAGCUGGUCUGAGAGGAUGAUCAGCCACACUGGAACUGAGACACUGCCCGGACUCCUACGGGAGGCUGCAGUAACGAAUCUUCCGCAAUGCGCGAAAGCGUGACGGAGCAAUGCCGCGUGUAGGAUGAAGCUUUUCGGAGUGUAAACUACUGUCAGGGUUCAGCAACACAAUGAGCAGACCCAAAGGAAGGGCCGGCUAACUUCGUGCCAGCAGCCGCGGUAAUACGAAGGGCCCGAGCGUUGCGCGGAAUCAUUGGGCUUAAAGCGUACGCAGGCGGACACACAGGCGUUUUGUGAAAUCCCUCGGCUCAACCGAGGAACUGCUUGACGAACCGUGUGUCUUGAGGCAAG